rnacentral:rRNA from 1 species
AGAGCGAACGCUGGCGGCAGGCCUAACACAUGCAAGUCGAGCGCCCCGCAAGGGGAGCGGCAGACGGGAGAGUAACACGUGGGAACGUACCCUUCAGUUCGGAACAACCCAGGGAAACUUGGGCUAAUACCGGAUACGUCCGUAAGGAGAAAGAUUUAUCGCUGAAGGAUCGGCCCGCGUCUGAUUAGCUAGUUGGUGGGGUAAUGGCCCACCAAGGCGACGAUCAGUAGCUGGUCUGAGAGGAUGAUCAGCCUCACUGGGACUGAGACACGGCCCAGACUCCUACGGGAGGCAGCAGUGGGGAAUCUUGGACAAUGGGGGCAACCCUGAUCCAGCCAUGCCGCGUGAGCGAUGAAGGCCUUAGGGUUGUAAAGCUCUUUCAGCGGGGAAGAUAAUGACGGUACCCGCAGAAGAAGCCCCGGCUAACUCCGUGCCAGCAGCCGC